rnacentral:snRNA from 1 species
AACUUUAUGCAGUACCAUAGCCAAUGAGGUUUAUCCUCAGCAAGAUUAUUGCUGAUUGGAAACUCUUCCCAGUAUCCCACCAUGACUAUUUGAAAUAUAGUCAGCAUUGGCAAUUUUUGAGAGUCUCGAUGGAAUAAAUGAAGAAGUAAAGACAGAGA